rnacentral:rRNA from 1 species
AACGUAGGAGCCAAGCGUUAUCCGAAUUCACUGGGCGUAAAGCGCGUGCAGGCGGUUAGGUAAGUUGGAUGUGAAAUCGCCCGGCUCAACUGGGCGAGGUCGUUCAAAACUGCCUGACUGGAGGACGGUAGAGGGAGGUGGAAUUCCCGGUGUAGUGGUGAAAUGCGUAGAGAUCGGGAGGAACACCAGUGGCGAAGGCGGCCUCCUGGACCGGACCUGACGCUCAGACGCGAAAGCUAGGGGAGCGAACGGG